AACGAACGCUGGCGGCAGGCUUAACACAUGCAAGUCGAGCGCCCCGCAAGGGGAGCGGCAGACGGGUGAGUAACGCGUGGGAAUCUACCCAUCUCUACGGAAUAACGCAUGGAAACGUGUGCUAAUACCGUAUACGUCCUUCGGGAGAAAGAUUUAUCGGAGAGGGAUGAGCCCGCGUUGGAUUAGCUAGUUGGUGGGGUAAAGGCCUACCAAGGCGACGAUCCAUAGCUGGUCUGAGAGGCUGAUCAGCCACACUGGGACUGAGACACGGCCCAGACUCCUACGGGAGGCAGCAGUGGGGAAUAUUGGACAAUGGGCGCAAGCCUGAUCCAGCCAUGCCGCGUGAGUGAUGAAGGCCCUAGGGUUGUAAAGCUCUUUCACCGGUGAAGAUAAUGACGGUAACCGGAGAAGAAGCCCCGGCUAACUUCGUGCCAGCCGCCGCCGUAAGAC
rnacentral:rRNA from 1 species